CAAUAAUAGUGGGGAAUUUGUAUUACAUUUGUUAUAGAUGCAACGCCACUGUCAAAGAGAGCCGACGAGUAAUUUCUCAACUGCAGCAUUUGAGAGAUAAAUUGUACAAUGAUCCUAUUUGUCAAGCUAUUCUUAAAAAAUUCACAAUACGAGUUAAUUGUCGGAAAGUGCAUAUCACAGCAUCGAAUUUGAUUGAUAUUAAUCUAUCAUUAAUUGUGGGUUCAGCAGGUGUGGUGCUAACAUACUUUUUGGUACUCAUUCAAUUUCAAAUGGAAGGCUACAAAAAUACAUCAAGAGAAACGAAUACAAGUGCC